rnacentral:rRNA from 1 species
GGAGUUUGGACCGUGUCUCAGUUCCAAUGUGCCCGAUCAGCCUCUCAGCUCGGAUAUGCAUCGUUGCCUUGGUGGGCCAUUACCUCACCAACUAGCUAAUACACCGCAAGCCCAUCCCAAAGCGAAGCCGAAGCUCCUUUUAGCACAAAUAGUUAUCUAUCUGUGAAUCAUCCGGUAUUAGCUAUCGUUUCCAAUAGUUGUCCCAGACUAAGGGGUAGGUUACCCACGUGUUACUCACCCGUCUGCCACUAAGCGGAAAAUCCAAAUCAUAUAAAUCCAAAUCAAGUGCAAGCACUCUCAUUUUCAAAAUAAUCAAUGGGCCGCUUCGUUCGACUUGCAUGUCUUAGGCAUGCCGCCAGCGUUCAUC